rnacentral:rRNA from 1 species
CUCAGCGCCGACCUCCAACCCUUUGUUGUUAAAACUACCUUGUUGCUUUGGCGGGACCGCUCGGUUCCGAGCCGCUGGGGAUUCGUCCCAGGCGAGUGCCCGCCAGAGUUAAAC